GACACUAAGAGUGUGGACCCCUCCUCAAAGACCUCCCUCUGCCUCCUGGGGUUAGGAGAUGAGUAGACAGACAAUUAGGGUACAGCAUGGCAAGGGCGAUGGUAGAGUCUGCACUUGGCAAUGCUGGAGCCCAGUGGAGGGUGCCCGGCCCUGCAAAGGUACCUUCCUGGAGGCGAGAGACAGCACACUUCUGGCCGUGAUGCAGUGGUGAAGCUGGUCCCUAUCUGUUCUCUUUGUCUCCACAGUCUUCUCCAACACAGAACUUUAUUCACGGGGUGGGGGGCCUGUCAAGGCAAAGCAUAGGACAUUCUAGGCUCCUCACCAGGACUGGUUUGAUUUAAUUCUCACAGCUGGGACUAGGAAGUAAGCCCAAACACUCAGCAAGGUAACUGAUGAUUAAAAACAGUCUGUCUUUAUGAACUAGCUCUGGCACAGGCCAGAAACUAGCAUGAUGGGACAGAGCCUUAGGAGAAAAAAAGCAGAAAUAGCCAACCUCACAUUGGGUCCAGGAAUUUUCUCCAAGUUCGCAGCAAAGCCUCAUGGGAAAAUGAAAGUCCCAGGGAGGCCUAGGCACCUUUUCUCUAUAGGGUGAGGGGGAGUUUUCCUGUGGAGAAGGAUGUGCAAAGGCUCCAGGUCCUCCUGGGAGAAAAGAUUUCCCUUUCAAUGAUCCAGGGACUAGGAUUUUAUUCUGAAAUGGGAUGGACAGUGGCAAGCAUGGCUUGCUGGGGAGUGAGAACCACAGGCCCCAGGAGACUGAGGAAAGGACAGUAAGGCCCUGCAGCUUAGGCCCGGUGAGGAAUGGCCUCACCAGGGCAGCUCAGCACCCAGGGAAAGGCACUGCCAUCUCCUCCCAGAGAGGAUGGUUACAGCCCAGGAAAAUCCACCACCGGCGCUAAUAGAAGCCACUAGUGAGAAUGGUUGUUUUUGCUUUUAAAAAUGGUUUGAUAAGUGUUAGGAGAGAAAUUAGACUAUGCCAGAACUCAGGGUUUGGAAAAGAGGAGGCAGCUCUCAGUGGGCUUUCUGGCCUCUUUCCAUCCUAAAAUGUCCUAUUUUUCUACAUAGAAUAAGAAAAUGCACUUGUGCCCCUCCCCCUUGCCUCUCUCCCUGUCUUACUUUGUUCCAGUUUCAUAAAGCCACUGUGAAGAGCAGCCUUGGUUCAGCCUCAGGAAUCACGUGCACAUCUCUGCGUCCGUCUGCUCUCUAGCAUCUUCUGCUAGUGACCCAUCCAGGCUCAUUUACUUAUGUGGCAGGACUCCGAGUGCCACCUCGUCCUGGGCUGGUGCUGCUAUUUGUAGGACAACUCAGAGGUACCCCUGUGUCGCUCCACUGGAGAAUACUUCCAAUUGCUAAUCCUAGGAAAAAUCAAGAUUCCUAAAAAUCCCUUUGAGGCCAGCCCUCUUCCUUCUGUUAUCGCUAUGCUCAUUUUACAGAUAGCAAGAGGUAAAGCUAGAACUCCAAAGACUAGGACAUGUUAAAGGCCAGAGGCGCCACACUGCCCUGGCAUUUCUUAGCACUUGCACACACAGUUGCUGAUUGCAAAGCAAGGCAUCCAGCUCAGCCUGGAGAAUACAGCAGACCAAUCCUUGUUUUUCCCGAGUUCAAACUGGGAAUAAGGACAAAGUAGACAAUCAGAAAAUUAUUUUUAAACAUGUUAGAAAUGCCAUGUGUUCAUCCUGGGAUGGCGGAAAGAUUGAUAAAUUUGGAAGCAGAAAGUCUGAGUUCAGCUCUCUUCUUUGUCAUGGGCUAGCUGUGUGACCUUGGAAAAGCUGGUCAUCCUCUCCAGUCCUUAGUUACCUCACUAGUAAAGGGAUGGUAAAGCAUCCAGCCACAGGCUUGUUGAGGACAAAGUAAGGUAAGGGAUGUGGCAGUACUGGGAAAUGGCAGCAGGCUCACCGUCCUCAAACCCCCCAUGUAGGGCUUUAAGUGAGUGCUCAGUGCUCGUGGCAUCUGUGGGGCUUGUCUUGGGAGUCUGCCUUUAGAGUUGGCCAGCCACUCCUGGAACAGCUAUUUCUCGUUUGAGGGUAGGUUUGACUGUCGGUAACCCAAAAGGCUUUCUGAGAGAAUAUGGAGAAGGUGGAUGGUUAAAUCAGGGUAGGCUGGAUUUGGCUACAAAGGGUGGUAUGAUUCAUAAACCGUCUCCAAGGGCCGCCUCCACAGCCCCACAGGGUUUCAGCAACAGCAGCUGUGAGAAGACAUGUAAAGCCUCUCAAGGGGAUGACUUUGAAGGAAGACAUUUCCUUGAUGGUGUAAAUUCUGGUUCCUUUGCUUAAAAACAGUCUCGUUAUCAUGACACCUCCUAUAUAAAAGAGCAUCCAUGGAAAUGCCUAGUCAGUUAUGCCCUUGAGCUUCCAUUUUUCUCUUGACUGAGGCUGUUGGAGAGUCGAUGGUCUUUAGGAUUGCUUCCAAUGCUGAUGUGUUCCACUUAUGAUUCAGCUUCUGGGGAUAUGGGUGGGACGAUAUGUGCUUGCCUGAGUAGUGAUCACAGCAGGAUACUGGGAAUAAUAGCAAACACUUACAGAGCUUUACUCCCCCUUUGGGGUGGGCACUGUUAUCAUACCUAUUUUAAAGAUGAGGAAACUGAGGCACAGAGAGGUGAAGUGAUUUGCCUAGAGUCACACAGCAGCUAGGAAGUGACAGAGCCCUGAUGCAAACUCAGGGAGCCUGACUCGAGUUCAUGCUUUACUCUGUUGGAAGGAGUCUUAUGAGCUGAGUCUUCCAGAAAGCUCUUGUGCAACAGAAGUAAUGAGAGCACCAAUUUCCCAGGCCAGAAUCUCUCUUUGUCUGAGUUCUGCCAAUUGGCUCUCAAAAACGCAACACCUCUGACAGGGGUAUAAUGCAUUGAGGGGUGUCGCUGCCAAAGACACCCCUCUGGGUGUCCACCUAGAACCUGUGAAUGUGACCUUAUUUGGAAAAAGGGUCUUUUCAGAUGUAAUUAAGUUAAGGAUCUGGAACUGAGAUCCUUUUGGAUUUAGGGUGGGCUCUCCAUCCAAUGACGAGUAUCCUUAUGAGAGAGAGAAGAGGAGAGAAAAAGAGGAGAAGGAAAUGUGAAAGUGGAGGCAGUAAUGCGAGCAAUGAAGCUACAGGCCAAGGAACACCAAGGUUACAGACACCAGAAGCUGGGAGACAGCCAUGGAGCAGAUUGUAGCCCACAGCCUUUGCGAGGGGUGUGGCCCUGUUGACACCUUAAUUUUGGACUUUGGGCCUCCACAAUGUGAGAGAGUACAUUUCGAUUGUUUUAAGCCACCCAGUUUGUGGCAAUUUUUAUGGCAACCUUAGGAAGUGAAUACAGGGAGUGAGGCCCAGGAGGAGUCCUGAUGCAUCAUUGCUCCUCAAAGGCGUUUAAGGGUCAAGGUCAGCAUGAGGGUGGGUAUCAAUACCACCGACCCUUUGGAAGUGUCUAGAAGUGUGGUAGAGGGUGAAAUCAACUCCUUCCAGGCACACAGCCCUCUCCACUCAGAGGCUUCCAGCCCAGUGCUCAGAGGCCAUCAUGAGUGGCAGAACCAUCUGCCUGCUAAGCUGCUCAAGAGGGACCUUGGUUCCCUGCGGUAUCCAGGAAACCCCAAGAGUGGCCAGUCAUAAUGGCCCUCCAGAGAGCUUCUGCAUUCCGGUUAAUGUACUUCUCAGCUCACUGGAGCUAUAUUUCAUCCCUUCUGGCAUAUUUUGUUUUGUACCUGAUAAAGGGGAUGGGGAGGGGGGAAAUAUGAGAGAGAAGGAUAUUUGUUUGCUGGACAUUUUGACAUUAUUGGCAUUGACAUCACUCUUGCCUGGGGACAUAUUGGGAACAAAGGUCUUUCAUUGAUGUUCUCAAGACUUGAGGGCAACAGAAAGUAGUUUGGCCACCUACUAAGUUCAACCCUUCUUCCUAGUUUCCAUGCUUCUCACACCAAGGCUGAGCUGAUGGGAACUGCUCUGUGUUUGGAAAUAACAAAAAGAUGACUGAGAGGCCGGCAAUUUGAAGCCCAGAUUUCUAGCACUCGGGCUCAGGCUCCUCACCCUGGACGUGCCUGUAGGGCUUGUGAGGUCCAAAGCUCUUAGCUCACACUUGAGAAAACAGGCCCAGAGGGAAGCGAGGGCUCACCCCAAGCUGCACCCCAGCUUGCUGCCAAGCUGAGACAGGGAAGCAGGAGUCUUUCUGGCUUAGAUCCCCUUCCUGGUCAUUAUGAGAAGCCAAGAGCUGGGCAGGCCUCCUAAAUUAUCUUUCUAGCUGCAUGUCCUCUGCCCCUCCUUGGAGCCUCCAUCCUAACACCCUACUGUUCCUGGGGCACUGUGACCACGUUCCACUUGAGUAUUUAGGUCCCUGCCUUGUCUUCUCUGCUGGACCACAAGGCUCAAGGUCAGGGCCUAAGCCUGAUGUGUGGCUGUAUUCUUUCUCCUCCUUCCAGGGUCCAGCCAGGGCCUGGUGUGGAAUAGGAGCCCAGCACAUAUUUAUUGAAUGAAUGAAUGAGGGGAUGAAUGAAUGAAAUAAAUUGGACAUGGUAACAAUAAAAAGUCUUUUGUGCUAAACUAUAUACUAAGAGUGAAUUAGAAUGGACUCAUUAUUAUAUUAAAUUACAUUAAAAUUACAUUAGCAUUUCAGAUUUUAGCAGAGAAGAAAUUACAGACAAAUUCAUGUAUUCUCAUUCCUCAGUGAUGGCUAACCCCCAAAGAUUUAAAGGAGAAACAGUAAGCUAAUGUUCUCAUUCUGUUUUUGUCUCCUCUUUUGCUACUUGACACAGCUGUGAUACUAUGCUUGCUUUGAAAUGCAUUUUCUAUCAUUUCAAGCCUCUUACAUGAAUCCAUAAAAUUAACUUCCAACCUUCUUUUUCUUCUUUCUUCUUUGCUCUGGCAUUGUAUGGUUAAUGCACCCUUUUACCAUAUUUGAAAAGCAAAGUUCAUUAAAUGACACGAGCCCCACAUGUAGCUACCUAGCUAGUUUAAUGGAUGUGCGUUCUUGGUCAGCUCUGCUGAGUGCAGGGUGAGCAGGGCCCAGGGUGGAUCCAGGCUCCUGGGCCUGGCAGCUCUGGGUGUGGCAGGCUGGAUGUUGGAGAGCCCUUAGUGUGAUCUCAGAGCAGGACAAGGCAGUGACCAGGGGAGGUGGCUUAUCUCCUGAAAGGGCUUCUCUCAAGUAGGGUGAGCAGGGGAAAGGCCCCAUCCAGAAAGCCCCACUGGGGCAGGGCCAGUGGAGGGCACAUCCUGGGACUCAUACCUGGGCUUCUGGCAUUACCACAGUCUUUGGUAAAGCAGUUUCACAGCCACGCCUGCCGUUCGAGAGGCAGCUCUUGGGAGCAGUGCAGCAGGAGCAGUUAGGAGGGUGGACCCUGGACUCCCACAUUUCCUAGCCCAGAGAUCUCAGGCAAGUUACUCAAUGUCUCUGAACCUCAGUUCCCUCUUCUGUAAAUUGGAGGCAGUGCAGCUGCCACACAGCAGUUUAAUCUCUGUACAUACUUGGCACAAACCCUGGCCCAUGGGAGGCACCCUAUACGUGCCUCCUGUGGUGAGGGCACUGGUAGACGGUGGGAGUGGUCGUCAUAGUGUAGUAACAACAGCUUCUCACUGAGUGCUUUCUAUGUGGUGGACAGUAUUACUGCCAUCCUCUAACUCUUGAGUUAGGCUGUGAGAGGUGACGUGACUCGCUUGGGGUCACACAGCCACCUCCCCAGGCUGUCUCGAGAGUCCAGUGAAGUAACAAAAGCCAUGAAAGCCAGGUCUCCAACACUUCCUUACUUGCUUAGGAGAGCAGAACUGAAGACAGGCCACAUCUCUACCUAGCUACUCAGCUGACCUUGAAUCUCACCGGGGCCUGAGGGAAGGUUUUCCUAAGAAGGGACGCUCCACAGGCUGUCAAUGAACUAUGUGGACUGUCAGCCAGCAAGAUGUCAUGGCUGAAACUGUAAAUUGUGUCUUCUUGAAGAAGGGAAAAAUUAUACCUUGCAGACCUUCAAUGUCAGAUUGACUUAAACCAGCCAAGCAGCUGGCUUGCCACGUUCUUCCCCCAUUGGCCUUCCUGGGGAAGAGGGGUUUUGUGACUUGCAAAUCUCAACUAAGUUAGGCAUGCAACUUCCAGAACUGAGCCAGGGGUUGUCUGGUAUUUAAGGUGGGGUUCCUUUGAGGAGAUAAAUCAGAGCAGGUUGAAAGUGGAGAAGGGAGGCCAUGCUGGGAGCCCCGUGAAAGACGUAGUCUCCUCCUAUGCAAACAGCAGGGAAGGGAGGGCUCCUCCCGGCCCCUUCCUCUUUCAUGACUUUGUGGGCUGUUGGGCAGGUCACAGUCUGAGGAACCUCGUGUCCUCCUCCGGAUUCUGCUAUGUUCUCUAACCUCCCUGUCUUGGUUUCCUUAUCUGCAAAGUAGUCUAAGUCAACUACCUAUGGUUCUUAUUGAGGCUGUUUUUGGCAUCUCCGCAGAGGUGGAGGAACAUAGUGGAAGGCCCUGGCCUCAGGAUGACCCUGCUCAGCCGUAAAGUUAACUUGCCAGGCAGGAGGUGGCAUUGGUUGGUCACCCAAACAUGUUGAAAUGAGGGGGAAGCUGGGCCAGGGUAGACAUCUGGCUUGUCCCACUGGGUCACUGACCUUCAAGUUCCCUUGUCCUCUGUCCUAGCCACAGUAAAGCCCCUCUGCCGCUCCCCCUCUGCUUGCUUCCAUUCCCAGAAUACAGCACUGCAGAGACUCAUCUAUUUGACAUGGUGCCACAGCCUGUUUAGGCAGAUCUGUUAGCCUUUACUUUUAGUUCCCAGGAGCGCUGAGGAACCGUCUGGGGGUGAUGUCCAUGGACACACUUCGGGCCUCAUGGAUUCUGUAUGUUCUCUCUCAUAUUGCAUGUGUGAAUAUGAGAGGAAUUGGUCUCUGGACUGAUGCUAGUCUUUUUCUUUACUUCAAGUCCAGACAAAAAAGAGCACUGAUUGCCUCGAUCUUCACAAAGCUGCAGAAUGUAUCUGACACAACCUAGAAUCAGGGAGGGGCCCAUCAGUUCCAAAACCCUCCGCCAGGUGCAGGAGCUCCCUCUCCAGAACUUCGUUUCUAUUGGAAUAGCUCGAAGGACAGGCUUCCUAAGGCAGCCUGUUCCAGGUUCAAAGAGUGCCAAUUGUUAGGAGAGUUAUCCUUACUCUAAGCUGGAAUUUCUCUCCCAGAAGCGUCUACCCACCAUCCUGCUCCUCUCCUCUGUGUGCUCUUUCCCAUGACAGCUCUGGAUGUAGGUGGAGACAGCACCCAUGGACCCCUCAUCUUCUUUUCUCCAGGCUUAUCAUUCAUUCCUUUUCUGACAUGAUUUCAAGACCCUUCACCAUCCUGUUCUCCCUUUCACUUUCUUCUACUUUCUCCCCAUAUAUCUCAAUCUGUAAUCCAUCUGGAAUAAACUGGAUUAUUCAAGAAGAAGUAAAGAUUUAGGUGGAUUUCCCUUCGUGUUCGCAUCCAGGUUCCCCUAGAGCACAUGCUAAAUAAGCUUUAAUUUCCCUGAGGUUUUCUUUCACCUGGUUUGAUGCUAUUUCUAAAAUAGAUUUCAUACACGGCUUUACUUUUCCUUUUUUCUCUCAGACUCUGUAUUAGUUUCCUGUUGCUACUGUAACCAAGUACCACAGAUUUAGUGGCUUAAAACAACAUACAUUUAUUAUCUUACAGUUUCGGAGGCCUGAAGACCAAAAUGUGUCUUACUGGCCUAAAAUCAAGGUGUGGGCAGGGCUGCAUUCCUUUGGAAGGCUCUGGGGGAGAGUCGGCUUCCUUGCCUUUUCCAGCUUCUAGAGACCACCUCCAUUCCUUGGCUCAUGGCCCCUUCCUCCAUCUUCAAGGCCAGCAAUGCAGCAUCUUCAAAUUUCAACCCCCCUCACCCAUCUCUUUUUGACUCUGCUUCCAUCAUAACAUCGCACUAUGAUCCACUCUUCUGCCUCCCUCUUUCACUUGCUAGGACCGUUGUGAUUAUGUUGAAUGCAUCCAGAUAAACAAGAAUAAUCUCCCCAUCUCAAGGUCUUCAAUUUAGUCACAUCUGCAAAGUACCUUUUUCCACGUAAGCUAACAUAUUCACAGGUUCCGGGCAUUAGGACAGAUAUCUAUUAUUCUGUCUACCAUAGACUUGUUCUGCCUGCAAGAGCAUGGUGACGUUAGCAGGAUGAGCUUUGUUGACCAUAGGUAGAUGUAUCUGGGGGGGCUCCACCUCCUCGUGCACACCCGGGCCCAGCCUCCCCUCACAGAGAGGUGCUGCACUACUCGGGGGAAGGGGGAGAAGUUCAAGCAGCUCCAGGGCACAGAAUCAGCCCCAUACAUGGUAUUUGAAGCAUCUAGCUCCCAGAAACUCUUCUUCUAGGUUCAUUAUGAGCCUGGCACAGUAAGAAUUUAGCAAAUGAAUGCCCGGCUGACUGGCUGACUGGAUGACCUGCUUCUGCAUCCAUCAUAUUCUUAUGACCUUCAUAUAGCGCACAUCAGCUCACAUCAGUUCUCUCUUUAGAAACAGUCAACGGCACUCUUGAAUGUGCAGAUUCAAUCCCAGACUCAGCCCAGCCUGUCUGACCCCAGCUUACUGGUCCAGCUUCACCUCUUUGUACUCAUCCAUGAGCCCCAUCCUCCAGCCUCACUGGACUGAGUAAGAACAAUCGCAGCAAGCACCUAUGGAGUGCUUGCCAGGUUCCCAGCCCUAUUCUGAAGGUUCUAUCUAUAUUUACUCAUUUAACCCUAGCAACAACCCUAUAGGUAGGUACUGUCAUUCCCUCCAUUUUAUAAAUAAGGAAACAGGCCUGGAGCAGUUCAGUAACUUACCCAGGGGCAUGGCAAGGUAGCAGCGAGCAGAGCCAGGAUUCCAACAUGGGCAGUCUUGCUCCAGAGCCUGUGGUUUUAUCCAUUGUAUUAAACCACCUCUCAAAAUAUCCUGUGCUGCUCUGUCCUGUGUUCUCCGGGCCUUCGUCCUUGCUACUCUGGCCUUUGGGGAGCCAGUUUCUCUUUCAAGAUGUAGCUGACUGUGCCUUGACUGUCUCCUGCCCUUGCCACAGUGCCUCUCCUCACCCCCACUCUUCUUUCCUCGAGUCUCCACGGUCAGGGCACCUUUGGGUCAUUCUGUACUGCAGUGUGGGCUGCUCCCAUGUCUGGCUCUCUAGAGCCCAGUUCAAGGGCCCCAUGAAUGUUUAGGUUCUUGUAUCUCAGAGCCCCAUGACCUGCUGAGCUGGCUCAAUGCAGGCCCCACAUGAGAGGGGUAACUGAUUCUUGGCUAGGCUCUAGGUACUUCCUACCUGAGAGGAAACCCUCUAGAUCAGAGGUUCUUAGCCUUUGGUGGGUCAUAGAACCUCUUUGAAGCUCCCAUCGGAGCUUCUACCCACGAAAAUGCUCAUGCACAUACAAUGUAGACCAUCAAGGGGGCUUCCUGGCACUCCUAAAGCCCUUCUGGGACCCCUGGUUAAGAGUCCUCCCCAUGAAAGGAAAGCUGGCAUUUACAGAGCCCCUUGUGGGCACCAGUCAUAUUGCUAGGGCCGUUCAAAUGCAUUGUCUCAUUGAACCUUCUCAGCCCCAUGGGAAGCAGACUUCUCACAGGCUGCCCUAAGUCACACAGCUGAUAAGGGGGUGGUGGGCACUGGCAGCCUGGCCCUCCAGUCUCUAAAAUCCUUGCUUUUUCCAGCCGUCACCUCAAAAGCUGAGAAGCUAUAUGCGUGGGCCCUCCAAAAGAAGAAUUGGCUACAACAGGACAGCAGUGACCCAGGCUAUCCCCUCAUAAUGCUGGGAAGGAAUCUGGGAAGCAACUCUGAUUGCUGGCCAGGACACUGGGGACCCCUGAGCCGGCUUUGGCCCAAAGGUGGAGCAGCCAGGGGAUGGGCUGGUAGUGAGCCUGUCAGAGCAAAGGGGCCCAGAUGCUGGAGGAAGCAGAUAGUGCCCAGAAUGUGAUUUCCUGAGUGCCUGCAAGGUCAGGGGGGAGGGCCUGAAGCCAGAGCAUAACCUGGGGCCCCACGCGGGAGCAGCUCUGCUCCUCUUCCAGCCCCACACGCAGCACACAACUGCCAGGGGAGGGCUUCAGUGCUGUCCACUGGGGGCCUUGUUGGCUCUGGGAUUGCUGGAAUCAGCUUGGCCAGAUUUAAGGAGGCCAGAGGACUGGACAGGGUGCUGGGUCACCUGAGAUCAAGAGGCGUGAAGUCUGGGUCAGGUUCUGUCCCUAGCUUGUUGGGUAACUUUGAACCAUCUCUUCCUGUCACUGUGCUGCAAGCCACUAUCUGGCCAAUAACUAGGCCAUCUCUAAGGGCUUCUGCCUAAUUGUGGUGUCUUUAAUUCUGAGCUCUCUGUCCCUGUGUCUGUCAGGGACCUGGGACAAUCCUAACUUUCUUGAGCCACCAAAGAAGUUAUCUGUGACAGAGCAAGAGUCUACAUCAUUAUCAAUUCAACAUACACUUACUGAGGUUGUCUGUGUGCCAGGCACUGGACUAGGUGCUGAGGCUCCAGCAAGGAGGCCAACCCCACCCGUAUAUGGGAAGCUCCCAGUUGGGUAGGAAAAACUGGCACAUAAAACAAACAUUAAGAAGCUGUAUAUGCACCUUGGAUUAUGACAGUCACCUCUAUAGAGUGUCCAAGAGCUAGCUGUUCCUGAUCUGAGUGUGAAAAUGUCCCGUUCAUCCAUCAGGAGAGGGCACAAACAAGCACCAUGCGGCGACAGGGUGAGGAGGGAGCCAUGUAAAUGUCAUUCCUGCUAGGGGCUCAGGCUGCAAGGCUGGAGUGAGAAGCACCAUUGAAACAAUGUGUCUUGCAAAGCUGUUGUGGUGCUGGAAUGAGAGAAUUUCUUUACAUGCCCAGAGCAUGGCCAAAGCAGAAGCUCCACAAAUGAUAGCUCUUAUUAGCUCCAUUUUACGGACAAGACAAGAGGCCCAGUGAGGUUUGCAGUUACUUGUCUAAGAUCACAGAGGAACUUCAUGGCAGAACUCGGAUUCUCACCCAGCUUGGACUGGUUUCCGACACCGUGCACUUUCCCUCAUACUACUUGGCUCUCUAUUACUUUUCGCUGGUUCUGAAAUCAAAAAUCUCUCAUUCAAGUUAAAGAUUUGCCAGGAUCAUUAAUUUUCAAAAGUAUGUAUGGGUCCUGAGGGCAGUUCCCCUAAAGAAGCUCAUCUUUGCCAGUCCUUGCCUCGGAAAGCCCUUUGUCUAUGCUCACCUUGAAGCUGCUGCCGGGCUUCUGGGUAGCAUGGACUUCCCCUGCAUGUGCCAGUCCCUGGUCCUGACUCCUGCUUGGUCCCUCAGGGGAAGAUUUCAUUGGCUGGGAGAGCAACAGGCAGGGUAGCAAUCAGAAAGGCAGAGGAGACAAGUAAAGGGGCUACACCUUGCCGCUCACCCCCGCACCUUUACUUAGCUGGGAGUCCUCCAGCAGAUUUCUCUUCCGUGCCCUGCAUUAGCCAUUCUCAAAAGCUCUGAUCAGUUUGAGGAUCCUUGUGACUUCGCUUGUGUGGAGGAGGAAUGAGGUUUGUAAUAAAGAAAAUAAUUAUCUGAUGAGCUGCUAUGUUGGUUCCUUGGGCUCACACCCAGCAUGUCUGGGCACCAGCUCCCAGGCCAUUGUCCCAGGCAGGUGGCCUUCCUGGCUUCAGAACAGCUUUCACUGGACUGGCUGGCUGUCAUGAGGCAAACACUCCCGAGUUGAGACCCUGUUAAUGAGUGCUACAUGGGCUUGUGAUUCGCUGCUGUUCUGCAUUCAGACUAGCAUGGCCUCCACAACUAAGGGAUCAAACUGCUAGUCAUGUGCAGGGGCCUAGGGAAGGAUGCAAGACAAGCAUCUCUUCCACGCUUCCUGCUGGCAGCCCUGGAAAGGGCAGAAGAACACUGUCCAACCAGAGUUUACCUAAAGAUGGGGACAAUGAAUGAGUGGGUAGCAUUUGGGCCCUUUCGGUCACAGAAUGUGAGGCCAAGCUCAUCUUGUUUGGCUUUCCGCGGAAUGUAGUCAUGUAGGCUGCACAGUGAAGCAGAAGGAGCACUGACUCUAUACUUGCAAGAGAGAUCAUGACAGGCAUGAAGUUCAAGUUCUGGCCACAACAUUGGCCAGCUCUGUGACAUUGGGCAACUCCCUUCACCUCCCCAACCCUCCAUUUCCUCAUUUGAUGAGUGAGAAUAAUAAGACCUGCCUCUCGGGGCUGUUUUUGAGGAUUGAUUCCUACAUAUUGGAUGCAUAUAACCCAGUACAGUCCUGGACUAGGCCAGAGGUGAAGUGUGUGUCAGUUUGAUUAUAGCAAUAUGUCCCACAGGCAGAGACGGCACCAAAACAGCUGUGCCAGCUACUGUUUCUAUCAGGGGUUAAUGAGUGUCAUAAACACAGUGGGCUCUUCCUGUGGUGGACUCUCCUAAACCUGGUCAGAGAACAGAAUUUCACAAUUUAGGGAGCUCAUCCCCCCAUUGUUGGGGUAAUAGACGCUCCUUCAUAUGAUUGUGAGCUUUGUGUAGAUCAUGUCACCUACAAAUGCAUAUAUCGAGCCUUUCUAGAAUUAUCCAUCCAUAAAACUAUCUAAGGACAUCCAGUUUAUUGAUCCCUGAUUAGCUACAACUUAUCACUCUGUGUACGUACGUGACAGUGCAUCAUUACCUGGGGGUGGGAGGAGCUGGAAACAGUUUUUUGUCAAUAUAGUUUUCAUUGUUAAGAAAGCAGAGCGAGUUACUUUAGGUUUGAUGAUCACAACAGCUUCUCUACGUAGGCAGCGUUCCAUCUUAGCAGACACUGGGAGAUUAAUCAGAGGAUCUGCUCCAAGAGCAGUGGUGCUAGGGAGGGUUUCAGAGUCCUGGGUCUGAGUCUCAGUUCUGUCAUUUGCUCCUUUUGUUACUGAACGUAGCUUACAUGUAGAUAGCACUCUCCAGGCCAGGUAGAACUUUCAAUGUGGUUUUUACCCUCACAACAAUUCGGCGAGGCAGGCAGGACAAGGAUACUUCUAUUCCUUAUUGUUUUCCAGAUGAGGAAGCAGAGCUGUGGGGGUUUAAGUGACUUAUCCAAGGUCCUGCGCUUGGUUGAUGGUGAGGUGAGGGGGUGGAGCCCACAGCAGCAUUUGAAUUGGGCUGAGAAUCUCAUACUGGGCUUAGAACCAAAGGCUGCCUGCUAGCAGCACCCGUGCAGCUGCAAGAAUAACUCCUGAAGAAGCCCGCCAAGGACACUACAGCGUCCAUCGCGACAUCUUGUCAGGUGUUUAUUGGUCAUUUGAAUAUCCUCUUUUGUAUUACACCUGUUAAGCCAUUUUGCUACUUUUUAUAUUGAAUUGUUUGCCUUUUUCUUAUUGAUCUGUAGGAGGCUUUAUAUGUUCUGCGGUACUACUCCUUUGUUCCUUUUAUAUGUUCUCCCAAACUGUGGUUUGGCUUUUAUUUUUCAAAAUUUUCUUAUGAAAAUUUUAAAAUAUACAGAAAAGCUGAAAGACUUUUACAGUCAACAUUCAUAUAUGCACCUCAGAUUCUACAACUAAUAUUUUACUCUACGUGCCUUGUCAUUUAUCUAUCAUCCUAGCUGUUCAUCAGUCCAUCUUAUUUUUGAUGCAUUUCAAAGAUGCAUUCAGUAUGAAUACCAUUAGUAUUUGUUUGCAGUUUUUUUAUUAUGAGAUCAAAUUUGCAUAUAAUGAAAUGCACAAAUCUUAAGUGUCUCAUUUGACAAAUUUGGAAAUAUACAUACACCUGUGUAACCAAAACUCUAUCGAGAAUUAGCACGUUACCAUCAUCCUGGCAUGUUCUUUCCCAGUCAAUCCCUGCUCCCACAUUCCGUAGACAACCAAUAUUCGGAAUUUUUUUCCACCAUAGACUAGAGUGACCUAUUCUAGAAUUUCAUAUAAAUGGAUUCAUACAGUUUGUCCUUUUUUGUGUCUUCUUUCAUUCAACAAAAUGAUUUUGAAAUUCAGCCAUGUUGUUGCACAUAUCAGUAAUUUGUAUCUUUUUUAUUGCGGACUUGUAUUCCAUUGUAUGAAUUUAUCACAAUUUGUUUAUCCAUUUUCCUACUGAUGGACACCUUGGCUGUUAACACAGGUUUUGGCUUUUGUGAACAAAGCUGCUAGAAUAUUCUUUCAUAACACUUUUUGUGAACAUUUGUUUUCAUUUCUCUUUGGUGAACACCGAGGAUUGUGACUGCUUGGUCAUAGGAUAGGUGGAUGUUUAGGUUUAUAAGAAGCUGAGAGCUAGAACAUUUCAGUGGCUGUACAAUUUAACAUUCACAUCAACAACAUGUAAGAGAUCUAGUUGCUCCAUAUCCUUUCCAACGUUUGGUGUUUUUACUCAUUUUGAUUUUAGCCAUUCAAGUGGGUGUAAUGAUAUCUUAUUGUGGCUUUGACUUGCAUUUCCGUAAUGACUAGUGAUGUUGAGCAUCUUUUCACAUGCUUGUUGGCCACUUGUUUAUCAUCUUUAAUGAAGUGUCUGUUUAAAAAUUUUGUCCAUUUUUAUUGAGUUCUUUGUCUUUUUAUUAUUGAGUUUUAGGAGUUGGGUUUUUUUUAAUAUCCUGAAUAUCAGUCCUUUGUCAGAUAUAUAUUUUGCAAAUACUUUCUCCCAGUUAGUGACUUGUCUCUACAUUUUCUUGAUGAUGGCUUUUUAAAAAUAGACUUUAUUAUUUAUUUAUUUAUAUGUAAAGAUUGGCACCUGGGCUAACAACUGUUGCCAAUCUUCCUCUUUUUUCUUUUUCCUACUUUAUCUCCCCAAAUCCCCCCGUAUACAGUUGUAUAUCUCAGUUGCCGGUCCUUCUAGUUGUGGGAUGUGGGAUGCCGCCUCAGUGUGGCCUGAUGAGUGGUGCCAUGUCCGCGCCCAGGAUCCGAACCCUGGGCUGCCGCAGCGGAGCAUGCAAACUUAACCACUCGGCCACGGAGCCGGCCCCAAGACUUUAUUAUUUAAAACAGUUUUACAUUUAUAGAAAAAUUGAGUAGCUCGUACAGAGAAUUCCCAUUGCCUCUCACUCAGUUUCCUCUGUUAUUAAUGCCUUACAUGAUACAUUUGUGACAAUUAAUAAACCUAGACUGAUACAUUAUUAUUAACUAAAAUCUGUACUUCAUUCAUAUUUUCUUAGAUUUUACCUAACAUCCUUUUCCUGUUCCAAAAUCCUAUCAAGGAUAUCAUAUUACGUUUAGUUGUCAUGUCUCUUUAGACUCCUCUUGGCUAUAAGAGUUUCUCAAAUUUUUCUUGUUUUUGAUGAUUUUGAUAGAAUACUAGUCAGGUAUUUUGUAGGAUGCCCCCCAUUGGAAUUUGUCUGAUGUUUUUCCCAUGAUUAGACUGAGCUUAUGGGUUUAUGGAAGACCACGGAGGUGUAGUGCCAUUUUCAUCACAUCAUAUCAACAUGGCUUAUCCCUGUUGAUGUUGACCUUGAUCCCUGGCUGAGGUAGUGUUUGUUAGGUUUCUCACUAUAAACGUACUCUUUCUUUCCCCGCAUCCCAUUCUGUCCUCUUUGGAAGGAAGUCACUAUGAGCAGCCCACACUUAAGGAGUGGGAGGUUAUGCUCUCUUUCCUUUGGGUCAGAGUGUCUACAUAAAUUAUUUGGAAUUCAUCUGCACAGAUCUUAAUGAUGUCAUUUGAUGAGCAGAAGUGCUUAAUUUUGAUGAAGUCUUAUAUGUAUGUACAUGUAUAUAUGUGUAUAUAUAUGUGUGUGUGUGUGUAUAUAUAUAUAUAUUUAUGUACCCUAUCUAAGAAAUCUUUGCUUACCCACAAGUCAUGAAGAUAUUCUUGAACCAUACCUACAUCAUACACAAAAAGUUGAGGUGUUUCACAGAACUGUUUUCUGCUUCAUCUUGUAUCCAUUUCAGUAGCUGUUAUUUUCAAAAAAUUUGUUCAUUUUAUCAAGUUGUCAAAUUUGUUGGCAUAAAGAUGUUGAUAGUAUUUCAUUAUUAUCUUUAUCUUUUUAAUGCUGUAGGAUCUGUAGUGACAGUCCCUCUUUUAUUCUUGAUCUUACUAAUUUGUGCUCUCCCCUUUUUUUCCUGAUUAAUCUAGUCAGGGAGUUAUCAAUUUUUGUUGAUCUUUGUGCUUUGUUAAUUCUCUCCAUUGUUUUUUUCCUAUUUCAUUGACCUCUGCUCUUUAUUAUUUCUUAACUUCUACUUACUUUGGGUUUACUUUGCCUACCUUUUCCUCCCUUCUUAGUGUGGAAACUUGGUCAUCGAUUUUAAACCAUUUUUCUUUUCUAAUAUAAGCAUUCAAAGUUAUAGCUUUUUCUUUAAGCACUGCUUCACCUGCUUCCCACAAAUUUUAAUAUGUUGUGUUUUUAUUGCCAUGUGCUUCAAAAUAUUUUCUAACUUCCCUUGUGAUUUCUUCUUUGACCCAUAUGUUAUUUAGAAGUGUAUUGUUUAAUUUCCAAAUAUUUCAGGGUUUGAGGGCUAUCUUACUGUUACUGACUUCUUAUUUAAUUCCAUUGUGGUCCAAGAACAUCUACUGUAUGAUUUCGUUUCUGUCAAAUUUACUUAGACACGGUUUAUGGGCCAGCACACAAUCUGUCUUGGUGAAUGUAUCAUGUAUACUUGAAAAAAAUGUGUAUUCUCCUUUUGGGGGGUAUAAUGCUUUAUAAAUAUUAUUUAGGUCAAAGUGGUCUGUAACAUUAUUCAGAUCAUCUACAUCUUUACUAAUUUUUAUCUAGUUGUUUUAUCUCUUGCUGAGAACUGUUGUUAUAAUCUCCAGCUAUGGCUUCUCUCUUUAAUUCUGCCAAUUUUCACCUUGGUUUAUUUUGAAGACCUGUUAUUAGGCAUGUACACAUUUAUGAAUGUCAUAUCUUGCUGGUAAAUUCAUUAUGAAAUGUCUCUCUUCACCUCUGGUAAUACUCUUUUCCUUGAAGUCUACUUUAUCUGAUAGUAAUCCAGCCAUUACAGCCUUCUUAUAUUUACUGCAUGGUAUAUGUCCCUUUCCACCUGUUUGCUUUCAGUCUGUCUGUAUCUUCAUAAUUAAAAAGAGUCACUUCCAGCAAGCAUUUAAUAAUGUCUUGCUCUGUUAAUCCAUUCUGACAUUUUGCCUUUUAAUUCAGGUGUUUAGUCCAUUAACAUUUGUUAUUAGUGUGCCUGGGCUGCUCACAACAAAAUACCACAGGCUGGGUCCCUUAAACAACAGAAAUUUAUUUCUUCACGGUUCUGGAGGCUGGAAGUCCAAGAUCAAGAUGUUGGCAGGUUAGAUUUCUCCCAAGGCCUCUCUGCUUGAUUUAUAGAUGGCUGCCUUCUCUCUGUGUCCUCACAUGGUCUUUCCACUGUGCAUGCACAUCCCUGGUGUCACUGAAUGUACAAAUUUCCUCUUCUCAUAAGGACAAUGGUCCGCUUGGAAUAGGGCCCACCCCAAAGGCCUCACUUUAACUCUUCAAAGGCCCUAUCUUCAAAUGCAGUCACAUUUUGAGGUACUCGGGGUUAGGGCUUCAUCAUAUGAGUUUGUGGGGGGAAUACAAUUCAGCUAAUAACAAUAUUUAACAUAAUUAUUGAUACAUUCAGAUUUACGUCCCUUUUUUUUUACUAUUUGUUUUCUAUUUCCCCUUUCUGUUCGCUUCUAACUUGUUCCUUUUCUGCCUUCUCUUAGAUUAUUUGCAUAUAUUAUAGUUUUCCAUUUUAUUUAUAUGAUUUUUAGCAAUACCUCUUUACAUCUUUUUGUGUUGUUCUAGGAAUUAUUAUAUACCUUCAUAACUUUUCACAAUAUCCUUAGAGAUAAUACCAUACCACUUCAUGUCAAAUGUGGAAAACUUGCAACUAUAUGUCCACCCUCUUCCAAUUUUUAUGCUAUAAUUGUCAUAUGUAUUACAUCUUACUGACAUUAUGCGAUCUACAAUAAAAUGUUAUAAUUUUUGCUUUAAAUGAUCAAAUGUAUUUUUAAGAAGUCAAGAAGAAAAAAUCAUCUUUUAUAUUUACUCAUAUAUUUACCAUUUUCAACCUCUUCAUUUCUUCUGUAGAUGCAAGUUUCCAUCUGGUAUCAUUUCCCUUCAGCCUAAAGAAUUUCCUUCAGCAUUUCUUGUAAUGCAAAUAUGCUGGGGAUUAAUUCUGUUAGUAUCUUUUAUCUAAAAAAAUCUUUAUUUAUGGGCUGGCCCAGUGGCACAGCGGUUAAGUUCGCACCUUCUGCUUCUCAGUGGCC
rnacentral:lncRNA from 1 species